GGGGGGAGGCCGGAUCCUGGGUUGUGUCCCGGCGCCCAGUGCUUCCGGGGCCUGCGCUGUUGGAUUCGGCUCCCGGCCCGGCAGCCGCCU
rnacentral:pre_miRNA from 1 species